rnacentral:rRNA from 1 species
UACGUAGGGUGCGAGCGUUGUCCGGAUUUAUUGGGCGUAAAGAGCUCGUAGGCGGUUUGUCGCGUCGGCCGUGAAAUCUCCACGCUUAACGUGGAGCGUGCGGUCGAUACGGGCAGACUUGAGUUCGGUAGGGGAGACUGGAAUUCCUGGUGUAGCGGUGAAAUGCGCAGAUAUCAGGAGGAACACCGGUGGCGAAGGCGGGUCUCUGGGCCGAUACUGACGCUAAGGAGCGAAAGCGUGGGGAGCGAACAGG